rnacentral:rRNA from 1 species
UACGUAGGGGGCUAGCGUUGUCCGGAAUCAUUGGGCGUAAAGAGCGUGUAGGCGGCCCGGUAAGUCCGCUGUGAAAGUCGGGGGCUCAACCCUCGGAUGCCGAUCGAUACUGUCGGGCUAGAGUCCGGAAGAGGCGAGUGGAAUUCCUGGUGUAGCGGUGAAAUGCACAGAUAUCAGGAGGAACACCAAUGGCGAAGGCAGCUCGCUGGGACGGUACUGACGCUGAGG